rnacentral:rRNA from 1 species
GACGAACGCUGGCGGCGUGCUUAACACAUGCAAGUCGAACGGAAAGGCCCUGCUUUUGUGGGGUGCUCGAGUGGCGAACGGGUGAGUAACACGUGAGUAACCUGCCCUGGACUUUGGGAUAACUUCAGGAAACUGAGGCUAAUACCGGAUAGGAGCUCCUGCUGCACGGUGGGGGUUGGAACGUUUCGGCGGUUGGGGCUGGACGCGCGGGUGCUCAGCUGGUGGGUGGGGACGUGGCUUACCACGGCUUUGACGGGUAGCCGACCUGCGAGGGUGACCGGCCACAUUGGGACUGGGGUACGGCCCCGCCUCCUACGGGCGGCCGCAGUCGGGUAUAUUGCACUAUGGGCCGAAGCCUGAUGCAGCCCCGCCGCCUGCGGGAUGACGGCCUUCGGGUUGUAAACCGCUUUCGCCUGUGCCGAAGCGUUAGUGACGGUAAUGUGUAAAGAAGCACCGGCUAACUACGUG